rnacentral:sRNA from 1 species
GCUGGACUUGGUGGUGCAUGCCUGUAGUCCCAGCUACUUGGGAGGCUGAGGCAGGAGACUCGCUUGAGCCCAGGAGGCAGAGGUUGCAGUGAGCUGGGAUGGCACCACUGCAAUCCAGCCUGGGUGAUAGAGCGAGACUCUGUCUCAA